CGCCUGGCUCCUGCCCACGUUCACAUGCAUCCAGCCUGGGGAAACACCAGAGGACAGCAUGUUACAUCUGCAGGACAGGAAAAUUGUGUAAUUCACACACUUAUCAAGAGAACAUCCCUGGUCAUCCCUACUGCCUCUGAUCUGGUGGACUCACUCAACACAGAACAUCCCUGGUCAUCCCUACUGCCUCUGAUCUGGUGGACUCACUCAACACAUGCUUUGUUUGUAAAUUAUGUCUGAGAGUUAGAGCAUGCCCCUGGCUAUCUGUAAAUAAAAAAUAAAUAAUUAUGCCAUCUG